AUGGAGAAGACAGAAAGCUGCGGAGGCACACAUUUGCAGCAGUCUACAACAUCGAGCUCAACAGAUCUUUUUAAGAGCCAACCCUCACAAACCUUGCUCUCAGCGAAUCUUGCCAUGAUCAGCCCUUUCCAGAAGAGAAGAUCAAGGAAAUUAUUUGUUCAGGAUGAGGAAUGAAGACGGCCAUCUUGUGCCCAAACGAAGACAGAAAGCUGUCCACUGAUGAUCUCAUCAGCCAAAUGAGGGGUUUUGACCAAGUGAUGGUCUUGAAAGGAAUGAAAGAAGAGGAUGUGGUAAAUUGUCUUCAAAGAAAAAGCUUCUCAAAAGGUCUUAAAACAGCUUGAAGAAUGGUAUGUGUCCAGUACUUCAAGGGUCAUAGUUGCUCACACUGCUAAAAUCACACAGAACAUUAAACUGUCUGACUGUCCAUUAAACAACUUCAUCUGAAUUGUUUGUGUUUUUUGUUUUACUUUGACCAGGUCUGGGAACUGUCUGAAAAUGGGAUGUUAGGACUGAGAGAUCCUCUGGCUGAGAAAAAGCUACACCAGAUCAGUGCUGGAUAUCAACCACACACUGUUUACAGACACGAGAAGAUCACGAUGGGGAAAUGAAACCAGUUUAGAUGUGAUGAUAAGGAAUCAUUAUUUUCUGAAACAGUAUCACAUGUCUUAUAUGUAUCACAUGAUCUGUAUCACAGUUGCCUGGAUGGGAUUGUGUGACUUUUAAGGACAUUUCAUUACUCAUCUGUGUGAACUGAUUAAUUUAUGAUUUUAAUGAAUUUUUGAUGAUCCAUUAUUAUUUUCCUUGAAUCUUAUUUGUCUUGAUGCUACUUUAUCAACUUUAUAGUCUAUGCUUCAAUAAAAUUAAUAUGAUGAAUAUUGUGUAUUGAAAAUUUUUGGUAAAUACAUAAUUUUACUAGGUAGGCUCAUAUGUGUUUAUUUUAUACUUGGAAAAACUACGUUAUUAAUUACCGGAAUUAUUUUUACUUAAGACAUAAACAUUUUUGAUCAGAUUAAUGACAUCUGGAACAACAAUACACCAGAAAGUUAUUAUUGUAUAUAUUUAGUAACAAAUAUGCCAUUUUUUGGUGAAAUAAAGGGAGUUACAAGAUGAAUUAUUUUGCAUUAAAAGAUGGUGCCAUUUGCUUUAUUGUUACAAACACUUGAGGGAUAACUGAGAAUGUAGCAGGAAUAAUCAACGUGGACCUUGUACUGCAUUAAAACCAAGAGCAUUCACAUUACUGAUGUCCAGCACCUGAGGAGCAAGAUAAGGGGGUGAGGACGACAUUUUUUACACUGAUUUUUGCUAAUUAGUUUAUAUAUAUAUAUAUAUAUAUAUAUAUAUAUAUAUAU
ensembl:lncRNA